GACGAACGCUGGCGGCGUGCCUAAUACGUGCAAGUCGAACGAGAGCGACCGGUGCUUGCACUGGUCAAUCUAGUGGCGAACGGGUGAGUAACACGUGGGUAACCUGCCCAUCAGAGGGGGAUAACAUUCGGAAACGGAUGCUAAAACCGCAUAGGUCCUUUAACCGCAUGGUUGAAGGAGGAAAAGAGGCGCAAGCUUCUGCUGAUGGAUGGACCCGCGGUGCAUUAGCUAGUUGGUGAGGUAACGGCUCACCAAGGCCGUGAUGCAUAGCCGACCUGAGAGGGUGAUCGGCCACAUUGGGACUGAGACACGGCCCAAACUCCUACGGGAGGCAGCAGUAGGGAAUCUUCCGCAAUGGACGCAAGUCUGACGGAGCAACGCCGCGUGAGUGAAGAAGGUUUUCGGAUCGUAAAACUCUGUUGUUAGAGAAGAACAAGUGCUAGAGUA
rnacentral:rRNA from 1 species